GAGUAAAGAUUUCGGUCGCUUUGGGAGGAGCUCGCUUACUAUCAGCUUGUUGGUAGGGUAAUGGCCUACCAAGGCUAUGACGGUUAGGGGGUGUGAGAGCAUGACCCCCAGCAUUGGCACUGAAACACUGGCCAAACACCUACGGGUGGCUGCAGUCGAGAAUCUUCCACAAUGGGGGAAACUCUGAUGGAGCGAUGCUGCGUGCGGGAUGAAGGCCUUCGGGUUGUAAACCGCUUUUGUAGGGGACGAAAUUUUUGACGGUACCCUUUCGAAUAAGAGGUUGCUAACUCUGUGCCAGCAGCAGCGGUAAUACAGAGACCUCAAGCGUUAUCCGGAUUUACUGGGCGUAAAGCGUCUGUAGGGGGUUUAUUAAGUUCCAAGUAAAAUUUCAAGGCUCAACUUUGAAUUCGCUUGGAAAACUAAUAAACUGGAGUCUAGCAGAGGUGCAUGGAACUUGUGGUGUAGGAGUGAAAUCCGUUGAUAUCACAAGGAACACCAAAGGCGAAGGCAUUGCACUGGGCUAGCACUGACCCUGAGAGACGAAAGCGUGGGGAGCAAAACGGAUUAGAUACCCGUGUAGUCCACGCCCUAAACGAUGAAUGCUAAAUGUUCGGGGAUUCGACCCCCUGGGUGUUACAGCUAACGCGUUAAGCAUUCCGCCUGGGAAGUACGGCCGCAAGGCUAAAACUCAAAGGAAUAGACGGGGAUCCGCACAAGCGGUGGAGCGUCUGGUUUAAUUCGACAGUAAGCGUGGUACCUCACCAGGGUUUGACAUCCCUUGACAGUCUUGGAAACAAGGUUUCAUUCGGGCAAGGUGACAGGUGCUGCAUGGUCGUCGUCAGUUCGUGCCGUGAGGUGUUCCGUUAAGUCGGGAAACGAACGAUACCCCUAUUGCAUGUUACAAUUUCUCAUGCAAGACUGCCCGGAUAUACUGGGAGGAAGGUGGGGAUGACGUCAGAUCUGCAU
rnacentral:rRNA from 1 species